GCCUCCAGCUGCCUCCUGCUGGGAUCUAUGUCCAAACCACCCAGAUUCCAGAAGCUAAGCAGUGGUCAGUACUUGGAUGAGAGACCACCUGGGAAUACUGAGUGCUGUAAGCU
rnacentral:rRNA from 1 species